rnacentral:rRNA from 1 species
AUCGAACGCUGGCGGCAUGCUUAACACAUGCAAGUCGAACGGCAGCGCGGGCCUCUGCCUGGCUGCGAGUGGCGAACGGGUGAGUAAUACACCUGAACGUGCCGCCCAUGGGGGGAUAGCUCGUCCAAAACCGGAGUAAUACCGCAGACGACCAGAGGGUGCAACCGGGGGAUGUUCGGACCGUGCGCUCUUGGAGGGGCCGAUGGCAGACUAGCUAGUUGGUGGGGUAAAGGCCUACUAAGGCGACGAUCUGUAGCUGGUCUGAGAGGACGACCAGCCACACUGGGACUGAGACACGGCCCAGACUCCUGCGGGAGGCAGCAGUGGGGAAUUUUGGACAAUGGGCGAAAGCCUGAUCCAGCAAUGCCGCGUGUGUGAUGAAGGCCUUCGGGUUGUAAAGCACUUUUGGCGGGAACGAAAAGGACUGUGCCAAUACCACGGUUCGAUGACGGUACCCGCAGAAUAAGCACCGGCUAACUACGUG